CCUACGGGUGGCAGCAGUAGGGAAUAUUGCACAAUGGGCGAAAGCCUGAUGCAGCAACGCCGCGUGUGCGAAGAAGGCCUUCGGGUCGUAAAGCACUUUUCGGGGAGACGAGGAAGGACGGUACCCCCGGAAUAAGGAUCGGCUAACUACGUGCCAGCAGCCGCGGUAACACGUAGGAUCCGAGCGUUAUCCGAAUUCACUGGGCGUAAAGCGCGUGUAGGCGGUUAGAUAAGUUGGAUGUAAAAUCUCCUGGCUCAACUGGGAGAGGCCGUUCAAAACU
rnacentral:rRNA from 1 species